rnacentral:RNase_P_RNA from 1 species
CGGGUCGAUCAGGCGGUUGCUCCGGUUCCAGCCGGGGAGGAAAGUCCGCACUCCACAGAGCACGGUAGCGGGUAACACCCGCCGCCCAAGCUUCGGCAAGGGCAGGACCAGUGGCACAGUGACGAUGCCGCAGGCCGGCCGCCCGACCUUCGGGUUCGGACGACCGGCGGCUCGGCGGCAACGCCGGGCGGCGCGGAGUGAAACGGCCAAACUCUACCGGGAGCAAGUCCAAGACGGGACGCUCGCAGGCUGCUCGCUCAGUCCCAGGUAGGACGCUCGAGGCCGGUGGCGACGCCGGUCCCAGAUAGAUGACCGCCCGCGACAGAAUGCGGCUUAUCGAUCGAUCCGGCGA